UACGGAGGGUGCAAGCGUUAUCCGGAUUUAUUGGGUUUAAAGGGUCCGUAGGCGGAUCUGUAAGUCAGUGGUGAGAUCUCACAGCUUAACUGUGAAACUGCCAUUGAUACUGCAGGUCUUGAGUGUUAUUGAAGUAGCUGGAAUAAGUAGUGUAGCGGUGAAAUGCAUAGAUAUUACUUAGAACACCAAUUGCGAAGGCAGGUUACUAAGCAACAACUGACGCUGAUGGACGAAAGCGUGGGGAGCGAACAGG
rnacentral:rRNA from 1 species